UGAUACACAAAAGAAAAAUUGGUGAAUUUAACCAUCGAAACUAAUCAAACCAUCAAAACUCUUGCUCUGGAAACAGACAAGCUACAGAGUGGGAGAAAAUAUUUGCAAACUACAAAUAUCUGACAAAGGACUUAUGUCUAGAGUAAAGAAUUCUCCAAACUCAACAGUAACUCAAGAAGUCCAAGGAUUGUGGCCAAUGGUUCGGCUGAAUACUCUGGGACUUGGAAGGUACACAUUUGUAACAAGAUGAAAGAAGCUUGGAGAAAAGAUACGUGGAUAGAUCUCUCCAAAUGGGUCAGAAAGGUGCAAAUUUUUGUGUCCCAUGUGAACACUAAAAGGUGACCUCAGCAGAGGAAGAUUUUAGUAAGUGAAUAGGAUGAUGGACUGACCGUGUUCACCAUCUCAAAGCAGCUAGUUAGGUAGAAUGGUGGAAUGACCUUUUGAAGGCUCAGUUACAGUGCCAGCUAGGUGGCGAUAUCUUGCAGGGCUAAGAUAAGUUUCAAGGAGGCUGUAUGUGCCUUGAGUUAGAAUCCAGUAUAUGGUGCCGUCUUUCCCACAGCCAUGAUUCACAGAUCCAGGAAUCAAGGGCUGGGAAUGGGAAGUAGUACCAUUCAUUAUUACUCCUAGUGACUCAAGAGCAAAAUUUUUCUUCUUAUCCCUGUGACCAAUACUUUAGUUCUUAGCAUCAAAAGGAGGAAUGCUUCCAUCAGGAGAUAAACAGUAAUUCCAUUGAACUGGAAAUUAAGACUCCUACCCAGUCACUUUGGACUCUGCCUGAUUCUGAUCUAUAAGGCAAGAAAGCACUUACUGUACUCAUUUGAAUAAUUGAUUCUGACUACCAAGGGGAAGAAAGCUGAGCAUCGAAGAAUUGAUGCUUUUGAACUGUGGUGUUGGAGAAGACUCUUGAGAGUCCCUUGGACUGCAAGGAGAUCCAACCAGUCCAUUCUAAAGGAAAUCAGCCCUGGGUGUUCUUUGGAAGGACUGAUGCUAAAGCUGAAACUCCAGUACUUUGGCCACCUCAUGUGAAGAGUUGACUCAUUGGAAAAGACUGAUGCUGGGAGGAAUUGGGGGC
ensembl:lncRNA